GACGAACGCUGGCGGCGUGCUUAACACAUGCAAGUCGAACGGAAAGGCCCUGCUUUUGUGGGGUGCUCGAGUGGCGAACGGGUGAGUAACACGUGAGUAACCUGCCCUUGACUUUGGGAUAACUUCAGGAAACUGGGGCUAAUACCGGAUAGGAGCUCCUGCUGCAUGGUGGGGGUUGGAAAGUUUCGGCGGUUGGGGAUGGACUCGCGGCUUAUCAGCUUGUUGGUGGGGUAGUGGCUUACCAAGGCUUUGACGGGUAGCCGGCCUGAGAGGGUGACCGGCCACAAUAGGACUGAGAUACGGCCCAGACUCCUACGGGAGGCAGCGGGGGGGAAUAUUGCACAAUGGGCGGAAGCCUGAUGCAGCAACGCCGCGUGCGGGAUGACGGCCUUCGGGUUGUGAACCGCUUUCGCCUGUGACGAAGCGUGAGUGACGGUAAUGGGUAAAGAAGCACCGGCUAACUACGUG
rnacentral:rRNA from 1 species